GAUGAAGAACGCAGCGAAAUGCGAUAAGUAAUGUGAAUUGCAGAAUUCAGUGAAUCAUCGAAUCUUUGAACGCACAUUGCGCCCGCCAGUAUUCUGGCGGGCAUGCCUGUUCGAGCGUCAUUACAACCCUCAGGCCCCCGGGCCUGGCGUUGGGGAUCGGCGGAAGCCCCCUGCGGGCACAACGCCGUCCCCCAAAUACAGUGGCGGUCCCGCCGCAGCUUCCAUUGCGUAGUAGCUAACACCUCGCAACUGGAGAGCGGCGCGGCCACGCCGUAAAACACCCAACUUCUGAAUGUUGACCUCGAAUCAGGUAGGAAUACCCGCUGAACUUAAGCAUAUCAUAAGCGGAGA
rnacentral:misc_RNA from 1 species